CAUCAUACUUGCAGUUGUCUUGCAGGUGCUUAAACAAGACUCUUGGCCUUUCACCCAGCACUAUCAGCUUCCUUCUUUUAUUGCACAAUGUUUACCAUUUCUUUGCCUAGCCUUACUGUUUUAACAGAGUGCUUUUGAAGGAAAACUUAAGAAAUUGUUCAAAUACCUACUUGCCACAAGGCAAACAAACACUGAGCUUCAUGUUUGUUCCAGGAGAGCCUCCCAGAGGCAGUUUUGUCAUGAAACUAGAUGCCAUCAGUCUCUGGGGGAAUGUGAUGGUGACUUGCUUACUUUGGCAUGUCACGUGUCAUCUGCACUGUGGCUUUUAUUUUUUGUCAUUGCUUCUUGUAUUUGUGCCAAAGUACUACUGAUACAGGCAUCAGAUAGAUUGCACACUGCAGUUACCUCCUAUUCACACAUGAGUGAAGGCAGUUGGAAAGGAAUUGUCUCCAUUAAGCAAGGAUGAUUUCAGCUGUGAGAAUCCUUGGUAUCCAGACUCAGCCUGCAAUUCAAUCAAGACCCUUUACCUGUACCUCUGCAAGUUAAGAGAUGUUUGGAGCUGAUCAAAGUAAAAGCUGAUGUACAGAUCUGCAAGUUUAUUCAUUAGUAACAUCUAUAUGUUUGUAAUUAAUAUAUAUAUUUGCCUUUCAUUUUGUAUAUUAUACUGGUAAUAUUACAAAUUGUGGAGUGGGUUUUGUGUGUGUGUGUGUGUUUUUUUUGUUAUUUGGUUUUUUGCAUAUUUUAUUUUAUUUUGUCACUCAACCACGUGUGUUAUAAAUAUUUGGAAUUUUCAGGUGAAACUUUCUGAUUAAUGUCAAUCGCUGGCAAAGGCUCCAACUACGUAUGACCAACGUAUUGUAUUCCUAAUCUCUUCAGAACAAAGGGUCUUGUUCCUUUCUAAAUGUGGUAGUGCACAGGGGAAUGACAUCAAUUAUCUUAAUCAACAUUUCAUAUCCAACAGAACAAGGUUAUUACCAAAGGAAAUUGGUUUUAUUUAAAGAGACAUGCCUGAAUAUUUAAUGUCAAUACUUUCCUCUUGAUUCUCUACUGUUUGUAUAAAAUAUGUGAAGUGCAGUUGUAAAAACAACACGCAAAGAUGUUUUGUGGAAUAAAUGAAAUAAUAAAUGCA
rnacentral:lncRNA from 1 species